rnacentral:rRNA from 1 species
UCAUUAUCAGCAUCGGCGAGGGGCCUUUCGGGGCUCCUCUGUCUGACGCCCUUGUCUUUUGCGUACUGUCUGUUUCCUCGGUGGGCUCGCCCGCCGAUAGGACACCUUAUAAACCCUUCUGUAAUUGCAAUCAGCGUCAGAAACAACUAUAAUGGUUACAACUUUCAACAACGGAUCUCUUGGUUCUGGCAUCGAUGAAGAACGCAGCGAAAUGCGAAAAGUAGUGUGAAUUGCAGAAUUCAGUGAAUCAUCGAAUCUUUGAACGCACAUUGCGCCCCUUGGUAUUCCAUGGGGCAUGCCUGUUCGAGCGUCAUUUGUACCCUCAAGCUCUGCUUGGUGUUGGGUGUUUGUCCCGCCGUUGCGCGUGGACUCGCCUCAAAGCAAUUGGCAGCCGGCACAUUGGCCUGGGAGCGCAGCACAACUUGCGCUCUUGACCUCUGGGUGUCGAGCGUCCAGCAAGUCUAUUCUCUUGCGUUUGACCUCGGAUCAGGUAGGGAUACCCGCUGAACUUAAGCAUAUCAAUAAGCGGAGGA